rnacentral:lncRNA from 1 species
CAAACAUAAGAUUAAACUGAACCAGCUAACAACGUACAACAGUAAUAAUUAAUUAAUACUAAUCCCAAACUAGGAAAGCAAUUUGAAAGAGAAACGAGAACUAAACUAGUUUUACAUUCAGAGGCCAGGCCGCGCCAAAAUUGGAGCAAAUAUAAUUCACUCGCUAAUCGAACAUAUUCUUCAUCUGUUUCAACAACACUAGUCUAAAAAUAUCCAUCCAUAGGGCAAACGAACAUCAUCAAAUACAUUGCCAAGAGAAGAACAAAGAAAAAGAAAGUAAAUCAAGAGCUUCCUUCUGGCUCAUCGGUUCCUAGAACUGUCAGAGUAGGAGUCUCUGGUUCCUCCACACCAACACCAUUCACCUUGCUGUUACAAGAACCAACAAAAAUCAGGAGAAGAAAAAGAACCGAUUCUGAUACUUAUAGAAAACACGAACCAAUGCAAGAUUAUUCUUUUAAAUGUAAUAAUGCUCCAUCAUCACUACACAAGGAAAACAUAAUUAAGGUUUUCAGACAACCUAAUAACCAUCCAUGUAUAUAAAAAAGUCAAUGGCGACAAGACCAAGUUUUUCUUUGAACGUGCAUUACAAUGUAAGCCUAACAUGGAUUCUUUUGGGAAUAAUCUACCUAAGUUCUCUUACAGCUUCAAACAUAAUGCAAUACACAUACAGAGAACUGUACUUUUCUUUUUUCAUUUAGGUCUAACAAACAUUUAGCAGUAGAUCAUUACAAGAUAUGACAAUUCUUGGACACACGACAGGGGAUAUCACAUAAUCAAACCGAUUCGAGUACCUAAAUUAUCAUAUAAAAAGAAGGGAAGUGAAAUAAUUGCAUAAGAAUGGUUGAACUUAAGUACUGAAAAAUGGAUCCUGUCAGAAAUAAACCAGAUAAAACAAUAUGCUUAUAACGAGUUGUGUAAUGUUUCAGAAGAAAAAAAACAACAUAAUACAGGUAAAUAUUAAAGAUUCAUAGCACGGAACGAUUUAAAAGGCCAACCGACCCCAAUUUGCACUAAUAAAUCAUAAACCUCCUGUAAGAGGAGUCAUAGAGAAGAAACUUA